rnacentral:rRNA from 1 species
GACGAACGCUGGCGGCGUGCCUAAUACAUGCAAGUCGAGCGCUGAAGGUUGGUACUUGUACCUACUGGAUGAGCAGCGCACGGGUGAGUAACGCGUGGGGAAUCUGCCUCUUAGCCAGGGACAACCUUUGGAAACGAUUGCUAAUACCGAAUAAAAUCUUUAACCACAAAUAUUAAGAUUGAAAGACGCAAUAGCAUUACUCAAACAUCAUCAAGCGUUGUAUUAGCUAGCUGGUGAGGUAAAGGCUCACCAAGGCGAUGACACAUAGCCGACCUGUGAGGGUGAUCUGCCAAAUUGGGACGGGGACACGGCCCAAAACCCUGCGGGAGGCAGCAGGAGGGAAUCUUCAGGAAUGGACGAAAGUCUGACCGAGGAACGCCGGGUGAGUGAAGGAUGUUGUCGGAUCGUGAAACUCAGUUGGUAGAGAAGAACGUUAGUGAGAGUGGAAAGCGCAUCAAGUGACGGUAACUACGCAGAAAGGGACGGCUAACUACGUG